AAUCAUGGUCUCAGUAGCAGCGAGAGUCGGGUGUGAACCCCGACGGCCUUACGCGCAAGGGUUCCUCGGCACUGUCAAUCAGCCGAGGGUUAGUCGAUCCUAAGUCUAACCGUAAUUCGAAUUAGAUGAAAGGGAAACUGGUUAAUAUUCC
rnacentral:rRNA from 1 species